GACGUAGGAGGCGAGCGUUAUCCGGAUUCACUGGGCGUAAAGCGCAUGUAGGCGGCUGACUAAGUCGUGUGUUAAAGCCCCCGGCUCAACUGGGGGAGGUCAUGCGAGACUAGCCGGCUGGAGGGCAGCAGAGGAGCGUGGAACUCCCGGUGUAGCGGUGGAAUGCGUAGAGAUCGGGAAGAACACCAGUGGCGAAAGCGGCGCUCUGGGCUGCACCUGACGCUGAGAUGCGAAAGUGUGGGGAGCAAAC
rnacentral:rRNA from 1 species